ACGGGGGGGGCAAGCGUUGUUCGGAAUUACUGGGCGUAAAGGGCUCGUAGGUGGCCAACUAAGUCAGACGUGAAAUCCCUCGGCUUAACCGGGGAACUGCGUCUGAUACUGGAUGGCUCGAGUUUGGGAGAGGGAUGCGGAAUUCCAGGUGUAGCGGUGAAAUGCGUAGAUAUCUGGAGGAACACCGGUGGCGAAGGCGCACAUCUGGCCCGAUACUGACGCUCAGGGACGAAAGCGUGGGUAGCAAACAGGA
rnacentral:rRNA from 1 species